UAUGGCGACCGGCGCACGGGUGAGUAACACGUAUCCAACCUGCCGAUGACUCGGGGAUAGCCUUUCGAAAGAAAGAUUAAUACCCGAUGGCAUAGUUCUUCCGCAUGGUAGAACUAUUAAAGAAUUUCGGUCAUCGAUGGGGAUGCGUUCCAUUAGGUUGUUGGCGGGGUAACGGCCCACCAAGCCUUCGAUGGAUAGGGGUUCUGAGAGGAAGGUCCCCCACAUCGGAACUGAGACACGGUCCAA
rnacentral:rRNA from 1 species